AUUAAAACUGUCGAUUUUUAAAAAACUUAACGACUAACCAAAUAGUAUUAAAAAAUUAUAAAAUUUAAAAUUUUAAAUGAGCCAAUUGAUGGAAGUGACAGUUUGUUUUUGCAUUAAUAAAUGUCCUUGGAAAGAUUUUUAUAAAAGCCAAGUCUAUAGUUGGCAUAUAUGUAAAGAAAUAAAAUUUUGAAACAUUAAUUUUAUAAAAGUUCAUGUUUUCGAUGAUGGAGCUUCCAAAUCGACGAUCCACUCCGUUAAAUAUGAUCUAGAAUAUUUGAAACUUUUAGAAAAUAAAUUUCGUAAAUUUUUGAAAUCAUAAUAAAGUCCAUCAAGUGGGCAUAAAAUGAGCGGUCAAAAUCGAACGACAUCCUAAAAAAGCAUGAUCGGAUUCUUCAAUUCAAGAUCGGAUUUAUUGAUGUUAAUCUAUGUAGUGAAUAGAAUUUUCUAUCAAAAAAUCAACAAAUUCCGAUUCUUUUACACCGUUAAACUAGCAAGUAUCCCAUACCGGCCGUUAAAAAUUGCCAAAUUUGUGACCCCUUGAUCGUAAGGUAAAUGAUGUCGAAAAAUUAUAAAAUUUGAUUUCUAGAAGUUUUAAAUACUGUAAAUAAUAUUUAACGGUGUGGAUCAUCGAUUCGGAAGCUCUAUCAUCGAAAACAACUUAUGAGUACGAGGGCGAUCGUACUCAUAAUAGUAUAGUAGCCGGACCCUAUAUAUAUAUAUAUAUAUAUAUAUAUAUAUAUAUAUAUAGUCCGGCUAUGGUGCUUGUAAAUUUUUUACCGUUAGAUUUACGCCUUUGAUUAUUUUUAACCGUUAGAUUAUACAUGAACCAACCACCCAUUCAACCCUAAAGAGCCAACAUCAUCCUAACCGCACAUUCCUUAAUCCAAUGGUCAAACAUCUACAAGCACUAAUAGCUUAGUACUUUUAAAAGCAUAUAUAGAAGCUCAAUUAUAUAUAUAUAUAUAAAUGAAUGAUCUUCUUAUAGAUACGUGUACUACCAAAAUAUAUGAAAUCUACAUAUUAGGUCAUAAAAUUCAAUAGUAAUGAUUAAUUUGAGAGGGUAUUGAAUACAAAUUUAGACUAUAUAAAAUCUAAUAUUAGAUUAAUUUUCCAGGGUUUGUCUUUAGGGUUACCUAUACAAGAGAAAAACUAAAAUAUUAUUAAUACACUACAAUAAAAAUGGUUUAUAGCGACACUUUUAAAUAUAGGUACAUGUCAAAAAAGUGCCGCUAGCUAAAAUUACCGACACUUUUAAAAAGUGUUGCUAUAUGUAGGGUCGCUAGGUAUAUAGUGACAGUUAAAGAGUGUCGGUAUAAUAAAAAAAAGUGCUGCUAAUUUACCAACACUUAUUUAAACAUUUAGCAACCGCCGAAACUCUAUCUCGUUGGCUGGGGUGGCGGAAGAGGACGACAGGAAAGGCUCUUCGUUUAGAAUUUCAGUGAAUUAAGUGAAGAGAGAAGAAAAGAUGGUAAUUGAUUUUUCUUUUCUUUUUUCUUUUCUGUUUGUAAUCGGGCCAAAUGGACUGGGUGUGGUGGGUUGAGUAGAGUAAUCUUUUAUUUUUGAUUGGAUUGGGCUUUAUAUUUAGGCAUUAGUAAAUAUUUUUUUAAGUUUUAGCAUAAAUGGAAUACUUACUCAAAAGUGUCCCAAACAUGUAUCCCUAUAAUCUAAUUCUGUUAUGGUGAUAGUAUAAAAAUAAUAUUUAUUAUCUAUUUUUUAAUUAUUGAAUGUAUAGAAUUUAUAUAUAUUCCUUGAUGGUGGUGCAAAAUAUAUUUAGCAGGAAAUGCGACUUCAAAUUUUGGAUAUCGGAUAUCAAUGGUUCUUUACCACGUACACCGGAGAUGAUUAAUUUGUACAAAAAAAUUGUUAUUAUAUUUGCUAUUGUAUUGUCACUAUUAUGCCCAAAAAAUGCAUUUAUCUGAAAAGAAUAUAUAACUUUAAAGAAAAAUUAUGACCUUUAUUUAACUCAAAAAAAAAAAAGUUCUUGUAUAAAACAAAGUAUAUAACUAUAUAUAUUGGAGAUUUGGUUUAAUUAAUUAAGGUAUCGUUUGGUUCGGGGAUAAGUAAAAAGUGGCUAUUUCAGGAAUAGGUAUAAAUUGAGAUAUAAGUGAAAAUUUUAUCAAUUUUACGUUUGGAUGAAAAUUGAGUUAUUCCUAAGGAUAAAAAAAAUAGAGAUUGGUUAGUUAAGAUAGAAUAAGAAGUAUAUAAAAAAUAAUAAUAUUACCCAUUUAUUAUAUUUGAAUUUUAAAUUUUAAAUUUUAAAAUUUUAACUUUUAAAUUUUAAANUUUUAAAUUUAAAAUUUAAAAUUUAAAAUUAUAAACUUUAAUUUUGAGAUUACAAAUUAUAAAUUAUAAAUUUUUAAAAUUUUAAAAUAAGAAUAGGGUUGGAAACAAUUAAUAAAAAUAAUUUAUUAUAAUAAAUUUAUAAAUUUUUUAAAAUUCUAUUUAAACUUAAAUUUAAUAAAAAGAAUUUAUUAUAAUAUUUAAAAAUAAUUUAUUAUAAAAAUUAUUGUAAUAUUUAAAUAUAAAAAAUAUGUAUUAAUAUAGUACAAUUAAUAAUUUUAUAAUAAAAAUAAUGUAUUAUAAUAUAUAAUAUAUUAUAUUUAUAUAAUUUAGUUUUAAUUUAAUUUAUAAUUUUAAUUAAGUUUGAAAUUAAGAAUUGGAAUAGUAUUAUUCCACUAAAAUGGUAGAAUAGUAAAUCCCCUUACUAUUCCGGAAUAAUUGGGAAUACCAAUAUUUGACCGGGAUAAAAUAUUCCCGUAAAAUAUCACCUGUUUGGAUGAAUAGCAGGGAUAAUUUUUAUUAUUUUCGCUUAUUUUUCGAACCAAACUGGGCCUAAAGGCUUUAAGUAAACAGCUGAGGUUGA
rnacentral:lncRNA from 1 species